rnacentral:lncRNA from 1 species
GUAAAUAUUCAUCUCAUUUGUAUCUCUUCUGCAGCCAUUAUAAUUCCCCACCAUCUCAGUGCUUACCCAGUAACAUAAUCAAGGGAAGGAACCAGUCUAACCAGAAGGUGUAUAUGAAGGAUUAUUUAUCAGCAGGGGAUGCUGUGUGGACAGAAGAAUGCAACUUUCGAUCCUUGAAGCUCCGCUAGAGGGACUGGAUCACUGCUAUCCUAUCUACCAUGACUGCCUUGGAGGUGGAUGAGACAGUCCCUGGAUUCACCACAGUAGAGUAAAGCCAGUCAUGAGACUUCGAGUGCAUCCCCAACUCAUCAGUGCCAUGUAAACUGACAAUCUCGAAGGAGAAGACUGUGAGCUCAGGAACACCACUGAAAGAAGAUAGCCCUGCUCUGCUCAUGCUGGAGGCUGGUUAGCCUGUGCACAGCAGAAGCCUGAGCACGCUCCUGAGUGCUGACACAGGUGGGUUGCGUCCUUUUUGUGACUGCCUGUAAUGCACUGCCGCCCC